UCUGUAGGUGGCUUGCUAAGUCAGACGUGAAAUCCCUCAGCUUAACUGGGGAACUGCGUCUGAGACUGGCGAGCUCGAGUGCAGGAGAGGAACGCGGAAUUCCAGGUGUAGCGGUGAAAUGCGUAGAUAUCUGGAGGAACACCGGUGGCGAAGGCGACAUCCUGGACCAAUUCUGACGCUGAGUGAGCGAAAGCCAGGGGAGCAAACG
rnacentral:rRNA from 1 species